GUAACUUAGAAGAUGAUAAUUAAUGUGGUUGCUGAUAAUUCUGAAUAAAUACAGCUUUUAUCCCAGGUGUGCCAUUUUGAAGACUGAGACCAUAGAGUUCUAAGAAUAAAGGAAAGAGCCCUUGGGAAAUUAUUAUAUAUAGCAACUUUAAAGGAUUAACAUGACCAAAGAUGUUGCAGCUAGUCACCAGUGUUUUUGGAUCAUAACAUGACAUAGAUUUUUAGCAUAUAAAAUAGAAAUGUGAAUCCUCAGAUGGAAUGAAAGGCCUGCACCAUAGACAUUGAAGCAUUUACACCCCGCUUGAAGAGUUUGAAAUGGACUUUACCACUGAGAAAUCAAGAUGGCAGCCCAUUAUGGGGAAUUGAGGAAAAUGGAUUAAUGCAAGAAUGCUGUAAUAUUAUACAACCAACACAGGAUUCUUUUAAUGUGGAU
ensembl:processed_transcript 1810026B05Rik RIKEN cDNA 1810026B05 gene